UGAUGUUAUGCUAGCACACGUAGAAGUCUAUGAAGCAUCCCUGUUUCUAGUAUUUAUCCCUGCUCUGAAUGAUUGUUUUCAAGAGAGAGAUGCUGAAGAUGAAACCUGUCUUUACCAACAAAUUGUUCUGUCUGUGCAUGCGCUAGAAACUCAUGUGUUCUUUCUUUCAGUUUUCCAGUAUUAUUAUCAAAUAUUAUUUGUGUUAUAUUUUUGCUGAUUAUCGUGCUAAUAUUGGAGGACUAAUGUGAUUGAGGAUCUGUGCCACAAGAAAACUUGAAGCUUUCCUGCCUUAGAUUCAUUAUGAGAAGGAGCGAGAGUAGAAGAUCUUAGUCAAGCUCAACGAAAAACAGCACAGUAGUUGUCUAUUUAUCUUUAGGUCUUUAGGAAAAAAACGCAUAGUUGCAAAACACCUGAUUAGUCCUGGAAAUUGCAAUUAAAAGCUAUAACACAAUCUAAUGUUGAUCACCCUGUAAUGAGCAAUUGCACAUUCAGAAUUUUAAAAGAGCAUCAUUGAAUGAAUCUCACAAGUUUCCUUUGUGGGGUCCACAGAUUUGUUCAAAAUAUAAUGCAAAACCCAGAAAAUGACAAUAUUACACAAUAUGAAUCAUAUCAAAUAAAAAUUCCAUAGAUUCCAAGAAAGAUUGUGCAUAAGAUGAAAUUUCUCAAUGUACCAUAUAUAAAUGUGAAGAGAUGUUUAAUAUAUAUUCCAAACUUAAAGAUUGCCUAGCUAGGUUGGAUGUGAACAAGAAGUGUGAAUUAAAAGGGAGAUACAACUGACGCAGCCAGCCCUACCUUAUGAUUAUACAUGCUUUGCAGAAAGUUGGACGAGAAAUUCACAGAACCUGGUUGCUAGAGCUGUCUGGGCACUAAAUUUGCUUAUCACGUGAUCACUGCUUACACAAAGGAUGUUUAAUCCUCAAGAUCCUGUUCGUCCUGGAGUUAAUGGUAAAAAAUUACUUUCCAAGGGAUUUCGGAACUAAAUUGAAACGAGAGAAAAUAUGUCAUAGGAACCUUCCUCCUUAUUCUCUUAACUAAUACUUCAAACAAUUAACAAUUUAAUUAAAUAUUGCCAAACUGGGUCACGGUCUUUUGGGAAGAUGUUUAUACCUUUAUUAUUAAAAUCUAGUCUUUGUUUUUGCUUAAUCUUAAACCGACUGCCUAAAAUAUUACUGAAUGUAAAAAAUUCUUAACUUUUCAUUUAUUAGGACUAAUUUUCAGUAUAAAUCCUUUUUCGUUAAUGAUUUAAAUCGCUACUGUCUGAAUGAUUGAAUGAUUGAUACAAUAGAUUGAUUACAAUACUUUAAUCCCAUAUUUUUGUAAGCCCUCCGCUGUUUGAAACUAUUAAGACUAUACUUCCUUAUUUAUUAUUGAUCUGUCAUUAAAACUUUUCCGUCCUGGAAAAUGUUAUUAAUUAGUAUUUUUUACCUUAUUUAGUAUAAACUGAAACCGGAACGCUAGCGGAAUGACGGACUGAUUUCAGAGAGGAACUAUUCUGCGAAAUUUAACGGUAAAAAUAGAUUUCCAUGGGAUCCGGCUGAGCCUGGCAGAAUUUCGUCCAAGUUACUGAAUUUUAUAUUUAUUUUAUACAGAGGGCGAAGGUUGUGAAAUUGGACCACAUAGGACUGCAAAGGUUUAACCCAAUUAAAUUGAAUCGAAUUUCUCUACUUCUAAAAAAUAAAGAAAUUCCGCAAUAUUAAGUCCAUAUUUUCCUCACAAAAAGUUCUUAUUUAUCCUAUCCAAACUUACCCUACAAAUACCUUUUUAUAAAUACUUUUUUUAUAAUCCAACACUAAACAAAGUUUAUAUGAUUUAAAAUCUGAUUUGAUAGAGUUCAAUGUAAGAACAAAUGCUUUAAAUAAACUAAUGCUUUCUUUUACUAAUUCAGUAUGAACUGAACUGGAACGCCUCCUGAACCUGCGGAUAACUGAGACAUACCUCACCUGAACGUGAUGCAGCCUCGAGAUUAACAAGGAACCGUCAAUGUUCCUCGUUAUUAUAUCUCUUAAUUUUAAUUUUCCCUCUUUGAUCCUAUAACAUGUAGCCAAAAUAUCAACGAGGAACAAUCAAUGUUUCUAGUUAUAUAGCUUACAUGAAUUUUCUUUGAUAUAAAAAAGAAAACUCGUCUCCGUGGCAUGUUUUUGCGAAAGCAUGCACAAAGUUAAUUAUAGCAUUUUAUAAUAAUUGAUAACACACACCGUGUCUACUAUAUUGCUAAGUCACAUUGAAUACAAGUAUGCUAUCCUUUUGAGUAAAUUGUAGUUUUUUUCGUUUGAACUGCUGAUUCGUCAAUACACGAUUUUAAAUGUAACAUCAAAUUCUGAUAAGAAAAUAAUGAAAAAAAAAUGCCGGAAGCUAAUAGAUUACUUCUUAAUUAAUGUAUGUAAACAAUACUAUCGUAAAAUAGUUUUUUCUGUUAAAUCCAUAUAAACUAAGUUGUAAUAUAUCCUCGAUACGUAAAUAAAUAUCUAGAUCUUAAAAAAAUGUUUUAAUCUUGAAUUCCUGGCAUUUACCUUGACUUUGUAAUGAAAAAUACAUCCAUUUUUCUAUACACUUCAAUCUUUUUCAAUGUAAAGUUACACAGCCUGGUAAACCAGACGUCUAAAAAACUUAGUAAAAACCAACUUCAAGCUAAGACCUUUGCACCAUUCUUAUCAACCAAUAGUAGAUCAGAAUUUGACAUACAAUCAUGAAACCAUUUCCAUCGACCAAUAAUGUGAUGUACAACCAUGUUUGUAUUCAAUGAAACCAUCUUUGUAUAGUUAUUAUUGUUACGCAACUAAGCGCUAUAUAUAACCUUGUGGUAUUUUUCGAUGGUUUGUCGUAAUUUCUAUCUCCUCUCUUCAUGAUGAACGAAUCAAUAAAGAACUCAGGAUUUAUU